CACGUAGGCGGAUCGGAAAGUUGGGGGUGAAAUCCCGGGGCUCAACCCCGGAACUGCCUUCAAAACUAUCGGUCUGGAGUUCGAGAGAGGUGAGUGGAAUUCCGAGUGUAGAGGUGAAAUUCGUAGAUAUUCGCAAGAACACCGGUGGCGAAGGCGGCCAACUGGUCCGAAACUGACGCUGAGGCGCGAAAGCGUGGGGAGCAAACA
rnacentral:rRNA from 1 species